GGGUUGUGAGGUUAAGCGACUAAGCGUACACGGUGGAUGCCCUGGCAGUCAGAGGCGAUGAAGGACGUGCUAAUCUGCGAUAAGCGUCGGUAAGGUGAUAUGAACCGUUAUAACCGGCGAUUUCCGAAUGGGGAAACCCAGUGUGAUUCGUCACACUAUCAUUAACUGAAUCCAUAGGUUAAUGAGGCGAACCGGGGGAACUGAAACAUCUAAGUACCCCGAGGAAAAGAAAUCAACCGAGAUUCCCCCAGUAGCGGCGAGCGAACGGGGAGGAGCCCAGAGCCUGAAUCAGUGUGUGUGUUAGUGGAAGCGUUUGGAAAGGCGCGCGAUACAGGGUGACAGCCCCGUACACAAAAAUGCACAUGCUGUGAGCUCGAUGAGUAGG
rnacentral:rRNA from 1 species